AUUGAACGCUGGCGGCAUGCCUUACACAUGCAAGUCGAACGGCAGCACGGGAGCAAUCCUGGUGGCGAGUGGCGAACGGGUGAGUAAUAUAUCGGAACGUGCCCGGUCGUGGGGAUAACGUAGCGAAAGCUACGCUAAUACCGCAUACGAUCUACGGAUGAAAGCGGGGGAUCGCAAGACCUCGCGCGAUUGGAGCGGCCGAUAUCAGAUUAGGUAGUUGGUGAGGUAAAGGCUCACCAAGCCGACGAUCUGUAGCUGGUCUGAGAGGACGACCAGCCACACUGGGACUGAGACACGGGCCCAGACUCCUACGGGAGGCAGCAGUGGGGAAUUUUGGACAAUGGGCGCAAGCCUGAUCCAGCAAUGCCGCGUGCAGGAUGAAGGCCUUCGGGUU
rnacentral:rRNA from 1 species